rnacentral:rRNA from 1 species
GCGAGUGAAGCGGCAACAGCUCAAAUUUGAAAGCUGGCCUUCGGGUCCGCAUUGUAAUUUGUAGAGGAUGCUUUGGGUGAAACGCCAGUCUAAGUUCCUUGGAACAGGACGUCAUAGAGGGUGAGAAUCCCGUAUGUGACUGGAAAUGUUAACCUAUGUAAAGCUCCUUCGACGAGUCGAGUUGUUUGGGAAUGCAGCUCUAAAUGGGAGGUAAAUUUCUUCUAAAGCUAAAUAUUGGCGAGAGACCGAUAGCGCACAAGUAGAGUGAUCGAAAGAUGAAAAGCACUUUGGAAAGAGAGUUAAAAAGCACGUGAAAUUGUUGAAAGGGAAGCGCUUGCAAUCAGACUUGUUUAAACUGUUCGGCCGGUCUUCUGACCGGUUUACUCAGUUUGGACAGGCCAGCAUCAGUUUCGGCGGCCGGAUAAAGGCUCUGGGAAUGUGGCCUUCACUUCGGUGAAGGUGUUAUAGCCCAGGGUGUAAUACGGCCAGCCGGGACUGAGGUCCGCGCUUCGGCUAGGAUGCUGGCGUAAUGGUUGUAAGCGACCCGUCUUGAAACACGGACCA